rnacentral:rRNA from 1 species
UACGGAGGGUGCAAGCGUUGUUCGGAAUUACUGGGCGUAAAGCGCACGUAGGCGGGUUCGCAAGUGAUUGUGAAAUCCCCGGGCUCAAUCCGGGAAUUGCAGUCGAAACUGCGAGUCUUGAAUACCUGAGAGGGUGACGGAAUUCCUGGUGUAGAAGUGAAAUUCGUAGAUAUCAGGAGGAACACCGGAGGCGAAGGCGGUUGCCUGGCAGUGUAUUGACGCUGAGGUGCGAAAGCGUGGGGAGCAAACAGG